CUGACCGUUUUCCUCUGGUGUUUAGAGUAUUCUGCAUUUCUAGCACCAUUUGAAAUCGGUUAC
rnacentral:pre_miRNA from 1 species